rnacentral:rRNA from 1 species
ACCGGCGCAAGGGUGCGUAACGCGUGAGCAACUUGCCCUCAUCAGGGGAAUAAUCGCUGGAAACGGCGUCUAAUGCCCCAUGGUGAUGUCCUCAGGCAUCUGAGGUCAUCUAAAGAUCCGUCGGAUGGGGAUAGGCUCGCGUGACAUUAGCUAGACGGCGGGGUAACGGCCCACCUAACCGACGAUGCGUAGGGGUUCUGAGAGGAAGGUCCCCCACACUGGUACUGAGACACGGACCAGACUCCUACGGGAGGCAGCAGUGAGGAAUAUUGGUCAAUGGUCGGGAGACUGAACCAGCCAAGCCGCGUGAGGGAGGAAGGUACAGAGUAUCGUAAACCUCUUUUGUCAGGGAACAAAGACUGGGACGCGUCCCCGGAUGAGUGUACCUGAAGAAAAAGCAUCGGCUAACUCCGUGCCAGCAGCCGCGGUAAUACGGAGGAUGCGAGCGUUAUCCGGAUUUAUUGGGUUUAAAGGGUGCGCAGGCGGUCUGUUAAGUCAGCGGUCAAAGCCCGGGGCUCAACCCCGGCCCGCCGUUGAAACUGGCAGUCUCGAGUCGGAGAGAAGUAUGCGGAAUGCGCGGUGUAGCGGUGAAAUGCAUAGAUAUCGCGCAGAACUCCGAUUGCGAAGGCAGCAUGCCGGCUCCACACUGACGCUGAGGCACGAAAGCGUGGGUAUCGAACAGGAUUAGAUACCCUGGUA